rnacentral:lncRNA from 1 species
AAAUGGAGCUACCAACACAUUGGAUUUACAAGACUUGCUAUCCUAUUGUAAUGGCUAUCCUUGAGGCAUGAAUUUGGAAGCAAAUGCAUUGGUCCUGUAUCCUGCAGUGGCCAAAACCAACAUGAGCCUCACAUAAGAAAAACCAUGCUUAGCCACUUACCACCUGAUGAACUGAACAAAGGGAUCCAGCAGGGCAAUGCAAGGCCAAUUCAA